CCCCGGGACGAGCUGGAAUUCCGGGGAAGCGACCCCGAGCGGCUGCGGGAGGCCGAGGACACCCUGGAUGUGCUCCUGGAGGAUGAGGGGGGCCUGGGGGGCCGCCACUCCCCCCCCGCCAGCCCCCGAGAUUUCCUGAGGAUGCAGGAUAUUCCCGAGGAGGCGGAGAACAGCCAGGAGCUGAAGGAGGGCGAUGGGGACAGUUAGGGACCCCCGCAGCCCCCCCAGCACCCCCCGAUCCCCCCCCAGGACACGCCGGGGGCUGGAUCCAGCUGUGGGGGGAUGGGGACGCUGCUAUUCCCACGGGAACUGCGGGGAGGGGGGGUCCAGUCGCCCCCUCCCCUAAUCCAGCCCGGGGGCACAGGGGUGACAUCGUGUCCCUCCUCUUCCCGCUGGGAUUUAUUUAUUUAUUUGGAUGUUUUGGGGUGCGGGAGGCGGCCCCGGGGUGGGGUGGGGGGACAGUGACGCCCCCUUCCCCGGUGUCGGGGGGCUGCCCAAGGGUGGGGCGGGGAGGGACGGGGUCCCCGCGGCUUAACUGUAAAAACAAAGGACAAAAGAAAUGGAAAAUAUUAAAAAAAAA